rnacentral:rRNA from 1 species
GACGAACGCUGGCGGCGUGCUUAACACAUGCAAGUCGAACGGAAAGGCCCUGCUUUUGUGGGGUGCUCGAGUGGCGAACGGGUGAGUAACACGUGAGUAACCUGCCCUUGACUUUGGGAUAACUUCAGGAAACUGGGGCUAAUACCGGAUAGGAGCUCCUGCUGCAUGGUGGGGGUUGGAAAGUUUCGGCGGUUGGGGAUGGACUCGCGGCUUAUCAGCUUGUUGGUUGGGUAGUGGCUUACCAAGGGUUUGACGGGUAGCCGGCCUGAGAGGGUGACCGGCCACAUGGCGACUGAGGGACGGCCCAGACUCCUACGGUAGGCAGCAGGGGGGAGUAUGGCACAAUGGGCCGAAGCCAGAUGCAGCAGCGCCGCGUGCGGGAUGACGUGCUACGGGUGGAAAACCGCUGUCGCCUGUGACGAAGCGUGAGUGACGGUAAUGAGUAAAGAAGCACCGGCUAACUACGUG